GACCUAUGUACCAACAAGAUGUCCCAAAGGCUGAAGGAUACAUAGAACCAAAAAAGAAAAUUAAAAAAACAUAAGGAAAAAAAAAGUCCCAGCGAUCAAUCACUAGCACGAGAAGUACUCUAAACACCAUCGAAGACAACACGUGGAUUACAAAAGAAGUUCUUCAAAAGCAGCGCCUUCAAGAAAGAAACAAUCGACAAGCGCUCUCGUUGCCCAACCUAAGAUGCUGUGUUUUCAUCCUGGAGAAAGUCUGAGUUCACCCAAAAACAUUGCCUUCAACAAGGUCAUUGCCAGGUAGAAGAAAUAAAGGCCAGAACUUGGAUUUUCACCCUAAGAAUCAAGACUCGGUGCUCGAGGAGCACCACCAAAAAUGCAGUCCUGCAGUGUCGUAGCUCCCUCUUGCGGAGGCCGCUGUUUGCAAGUCACCAAACACCUCACACACAAUACUUAUCUCAUCCAAUAUACCCUUCCACCAAAGCUUCAAUACAUCCAAUCACAGCCGCCAUGAUUUUCCCCACCUCUAUCAAUGCCUUAGGAAUUUUGACUUAAAUAUGUUGGAUGACACCGAUAAGAAAGCAAAGCUUCGCGUUGCGCUCUCUUGGGGCGAUAAUAUGAGCGCAUGCAACCAGAGCCUUUCUGAUCUAGUUAUCCAGGGGCGGCAUAUACCAAUACGUAUAGAUCAAUUAAUUCCAGUAAAUAAUUUAUGACUAGAACAAAAAGUAGGAUGCAACAAUCUAGCACACUAGAUGAACAGCAAAACAUGCACAACAACAACGCACUUGUAAUAGCAAGGAGAGAUAGGCACAUGGGCAGAUAACGAUGGACGUACUAUUCGUUAACUGUAGCAGGAGCGACGUUGUUGAUGACGAUCUUGGUGACGAUUUGUUGCUCACGGCAUUGUAGACGACGAUGAGUGGCGCCGCUCGACUUGGAUGGAAGACGAUCCAUGAUGACAAACUUGUGCAGUCACGCAGAACGCUUUCCAAUAACCUAAUUUGUACUCUCCUGGUGUAGGAUUGCAAGGACGAACGGUUUCGGAGACCUACACUUCUGCACGUCGGCCUUCGGGGUGAAGUAGACUAUGGUUGUGGAGCAAGUCGCAAGAUGAGGGAAAACACU
rnacentral:lncRNA from 1 species